UUGCCCCAUUGAUUCUGAUGUUUGCUGUCGGUUUUUCUUCUUCAGGUUAUACUUAAGUUAAAUUUUCUUCCAGUAAACUCCCUUUGUGCUUAAGCAUUAGAUGCAGGAAGUUUUUAUUAGACUUAAAAAUGACUUACUCUGUCUUUAUACCUUCUGGGUCCAGGAGGGGUUAAAAGAUGAGUUUUUCUCUCACGAGGCUUUCAGAGAUUCUAUCACAUAUUUGGGAACUUCUCACUUGUAGUUAUCUUGUAAUAAGUGAUGCAUUUUCUUCUAGUUCAUCACUCAGUCUCUCCUCAGUUACUAGGAAUCCAGCAGGGUAUAUAUAAGUCCCAUUGCCCUUCCCAGUGGGUCCUGUUGGAUAGGACAUAAUACAAACCUUCAUACGUUCUCCUUUUUAUGCAUGAUCCAUAAUUGGGACACUGGAAUCUUUCAUGUACUCUUUGACCUGAUAAACUCUCGAGUGUAGGUAGACCUCACAGUCUGGAUUCAUUCAUCAGCAGGUAAAUGCCUUUCCUCUGGAUGUUUAAAUUCAUCCGAUGAGAGUCAGAUUCCAAUCUACUGAGUUUUCCAAACUUCACAUUCACAUAUUAAGCUCAUAUCAAGUAGUAACGUUGAAGCUCCUUUAACUAGUUUGCAGGUGACAGUGGGUACAACAGACCCACUUUUUUCAUAAUUUUAUUUUUAUCACCUAGAUUAUAAAUUUCUAGUCUUAAAGUCUAGGAGAGCCAGAGUUAGAAAGUAAUACACGUGCUCUGUGUUUUGCCCAGAGAAGAGUUGAACCCACCAGGCUUCCUACUAUUAUGUUUACCAAUUAAGAUUUUGAAUUCUCUGCGGGUGUUUUUAUUUUUGUUUUUUUCCUCAACUUAAUGUUUUUUGAAUCCAUGUAUUAUAUAUCAUUUCUAGAAAUAUUUCCUGCUAUAGUAAAAUGCUGAUUUGUGACCUUGUUUUGGAAUAUUUUUUUAAUUGGACUUUUGUGGAAAUCACCUGAAUAAUGAUUAAUAAUAAGCAGAAUAAAUUUUAUGUGAAAGUUAUUUCAGAAGUCAUUUAUUUUAGUUCUGUGUGACUGCUGUUGCAAUUUUCUGGGCAUACUAACCAACUAAUUUGAAAGUUAAGCUCUUUGUGUGAUUGCAUGUUUCUUGCCUUUAGAGUAAUGAAGAUUUUGGAAAGACAUCAUCAAAGCAGAAAUAGGAAGCUUAUUGACUCUUGAAUAUUUAGUGUUUUAUUACAUUUACCAUAAAUUCUGGUUUCCUAAGUUAAGUAACAUGAAACGCAUCCAGCUGUAACAGAGUUUGUGUUACCUGCAGAUUUCAAUUUAACAAUUUUCUUUCAAGCUUCAGAUUUGAUGGAAAUCUAUCAAGUUUCCCAAGGCAUGUCUAGCAGAGUGAGGUUGUACAUAAGUGUUUUUGCUUGAGUUCCUAGGAGCAGAGCAUGGGACAGGAAUUCUUGUUCAGGUGGUAUAUCAAAAGAGCACUUGAAGUGAAAUGAGGACAAUAGGAUGAAACAGGAAAAAAAGACAAAUAAGAAGCUGAGCCAGAAUGUGGGCUUAGCUGGAGGCUAGCUUGUUUAAUCCCAUAGGAAGCUUCAAAGUUCUCCCACAACAAAGUUUCUCCUACAUCAUGGAACUCAGUCAUUGGCAGUGGUCUUCCCUUGGAUGGGUAGGUGAUUAUAGCCUAUUAGGCAAGGCUGUUCCUGUUCUUGUGAGGGCAAGUUUCCAAAGACAGGAGUAGCUGUGAGUUAUCAACUAAUACAGUUGUGAGGGAAAAGUUCCCUCCCCUGUUUACAUGAUGAUGGCUGUUUACCAGCAGGAUUCUUUAUAGUCCAUCCUUUGAGCUCAGAUACCCAGAGGUCAUGGCACAGCCUCUUCAGAAUUCUGAUUGGAAAACCUUACAAGGGGGUUACUGGGAGGAGCUCUAGCUGCUGCUGCUGUAGUUUGUCCUGAGAUCACAACUAAUAUGCAUCACUUCCUGCCUCCACUGCCAAUUCUAAAUUCCUCUCCCCAGUGAUUAGCGCUUCUGCCAAUCUGUGCAGUUUGCCUGGUGGAAUGCCCCAGGCCUCAUCCUUAUUCUGAAGGGUGUGAGCCUUUUGGUCACUCUGCCUUUACCAGGUCAUGGUUUCUGUGCUUUCCCAUGUACAAUUAUAGCUGGGAAUGAAGGUUACAUGGCUUACCUGAGUGCUCAGCAUAUUCUUCCUUGCCCCUAAUCUGUCACAGAAGUUAUGGUUCCUCCUGAUUGUCCUGGUCCAUUAUUGCUGUCAGUGCAGUAAUCCUUUUCUUUGCUUGCUGAUCUCCUGGCACGAGGAUCCCAAAGUGAACAGAAAGCAGUGUUAACUCUAAGAUUAGUGGGAUUCUUGCUGGGUCCUUGGAGGAGGGAUUACACAGAACCUAAAAUUGUGGAGACAUUAUGUGUGUUUCCCCAAGUGGGUUUCUGGGGGGUGAGAACGAGUGGGACUGCUUCUUCCUCUAUCCAAUCUUAGCCAGACCAUUUAUUCUACUGUUAUGGACAUAGCACUAUAGAAGGGCUAUUGGAUUAAGAUACUAUGCUGAAUGAUAAAAAGAUAGGGCCCUAUCCUUUCAAGGUGUUCUCUUCAAGCUUCUAUUUUAGCAGCAUAUUUAAAAGUCCAUUUCAAUCUCCUAAUGGGUUGGCAGCUUAGAUGGCACAAUAUGUGGUAGGAACAAUGGAUGCUGUUGACACAAGACCACUGUUGCUGCUCCUUCACUGUACAGUGGGUAUGUAGAUACAUGGUAAUGUUAUUCAGGAUUCCAUGACAGUAAAUUAGACAUGCUCUGAGCCCUAGGUAGUGGUGCUGGCUGGGAGUUGUGACCCCAAAAAGGCAGAGCUGCACCUGGAAUAGUGGGUCAAGCACAGACAGGAUGGAACAUUACUCUUUCCAGGAGAUAAGUGUCUUAUUGGUCUUAUAGAAAGAUAGCACCAUUUGGACACUCACUGUUGUUCUCUACUGCUGGCAAGUUAGAUAUUCAGCAGUGGCAAUAGCGAGAUCAGUAUUGGUGAGAAUUAGCCCGCGCCGAUGGUCCCUGGACCCACAGACCAUGCAAAGGUCCAUUUCUUCCACCAUGGCCAUUCUAGUUCUCGGCUGUUCUAUUCCAGCACCAGAGAAGCUGAAGAUAGAAAGUGGGUGACUGAGUCAUCCUGUUUCUGGCUGUCAAAUGCCUCUUCUGACGUAGAUUCUCUCUAGUGGAUGUUAACAUGUGAUCUAAAGGUCCUCGCUUCAGUUGAACCUUUUUUACAUGUAUCAUUUUCUAAGGGGUUGCUUUAGUUUUAUGAUGAAUAUAUGUAAUUGUGAUAACAAUAUACUGGAAAAAUUUUGCUGUUUUACAUGUAGAAAUCUUACUUCCAUUUAGGUCCCGUAAUCCUCUCCACUUUAAAAAUUUAUUUUCUCUACCCACAUCAAAAACCCCAUCAACUAGUAUUAUAGUUUUUGCCUCAAACAUGAAACAUGAUUAAAAAACUCAGGAGAAGUAUAGUCUAUAUUAUGUUUACUUCCCAACCUUCCUCCCUUUUUUUAAACCUAUUGCAUUGUUAUUUCUUCCUUUCUGAAGUCAUUUACUUUCUGUUUGGAGAAUUCCCUGUCGCCAUUCUCUAUGGGUAGGUCUGCUGCCCUUAGAGAUACACAUUCCUUUAGUUUUACUUCAUCUGAGAAUGUCUUAAUUUGCCUUCAUACCUGAAGGAUAUUUUCGCUAGGUAUAGAAUUUAGGGUUGACGGGUUUUUUUUUCCUUUCAGCACUUGAAAAUGUGCUACUUUAGUGUAAUAUAAACCAGUACUUCUAGGGCUAAAGUUUAAUUAUAUGGCUGUAGCCUAAAUAGCCUAUUUUGAUUGGAAAAAGAAAAGACGGGGUACAAUUUUUGUUCCUUUUCUUAUAUUGCAGAAAGUAUUUCUUUUUGAAGGGAAAUACACAUGAAAACAUUUUUUUGGCUGCUCCCAAUUGCAGUUGAAUACUAGGUAGUUGUUUAUUGCUUUCUUUUUCUUCUGAGACAUGCAGAGAGAAGCAACUGUUCUGAGGGCAAAGAGGAUGAAAACACAAACUAACAGUUUAGUCCAAAUUAGCAGCCUGCUGUGUCCAAAUGAGAGAGAAGAGAGCCAGUUACACAAAAGCAAAAAUCCAUCUUGGGAAGCUCUCUGAGGUGAAGUGUCGGGAGUUUGGACUCAGGCAUGCCUAGCAUUUAAUCCCAUCUCCACUGUUUACUAGGUGUAUGAACUUUGGUGAGUAAUUUAUCCUCUCUAGGUGUCAAUCCCCCCACAGAUAACAUUGAAAUUAUACUACUUGGCGUCAUUGUGAGAAUUUAAACAACAGCAGGAUCCUAGCAUUCAUUCUCAACUGUCUUUCCAGGGUGUUUCAGUUGUAUUUCUCCUUCUCCUUUUCAUGUAGAGGCAAUGUAAAGAAAGAUUAAGGAAAACCCACUAGAAAGGGUGUCUGGCUCCAGCUUGGGAAACAUGAUGAACUAGCAAAGUUAAGAUUUAUUGUGAAAGGUAUAAUUUGAAUCUUUUAUUUCUUUAAGAGUUGUGAUGUUAUCACUUCCUAAGUUUAUAGAGAGCUACUAUUAUUUAGUUUAUUAGUUUCAUUAUUUUCAUAAAGGAGAAUAUAAAGAAAAGUUUAUUAGUCUGGGUCAAAUCAAGGGAGAGAUAUCUUACAGCAACUUGAACAGGAAAGGUUUUAUAUAAAGAAUUAUUAACUGCAAAAGGACAUUGGAGCAAUUAGGGUUUUGCUAGUAAUAAGCAAAGAGAACAUUAAUGAAUACAGUAUAACAGACAUAAGUGCAGUUACUACCCAGGGCUGAGAUAGAGAGUCCUAAGAAUAGACCCCAUUUUGCCCCUCUCCUCCACAGCUGAGAUCUGAAUCCUGUGGGAAAAAGCACAGCCCUUUUAGUGACUGUCGCAGAAGUCACUGUGAGGGUACCCUGGGGGAAUUUACUGGAAAUCUGUCCUCAGGAACUGACCAGAAUUCUGCUUUCUAGGGCUCCCAGAAAAGUUGUUGAGGAGGUGUAUCAUUUGAAGCAGUGGUACAAAUCUGCCCGAGGGUGGCAAUGACCACUGUACUGCUGGCCACUGUGUAUUUCAGGAGACUGGCUCUGAAGAAGCCAUAUACACUGCAGGAAUCUGGUGCUGGAAGUGGACUACACUAUAGGAACUAGACACUGCAAAUACACUGUGGGAGUCUGCCAAGUGAGUGCAUCAGAACGAGAAAGCAAAACCCUUUUGCUCCUGCAGUGUCUCUCCAGCACCGUCUACUGACAAAGUUUGACAUUAUGUGGCAGACAGGGGACAAUAUUUAAGGGGCCCAGAUCCAUUCUCACAGAGCAAGCAAAAAGUAAGAAUUUGAAGCUAAGAGGUAAUAACUUAUGACUGGUACAUAAGGGAUGGAGAAUUUAUGAUUGGAAAUCUGUGUUAGAACUUAGUAAGAGUGAUUGUCUUUAUCUUAUGAAAAGCAUGGUCUUAAUUAUUCAAACCAUGAUACCAAUCCACCAAUGCCUCCUGGUGGUCAUAAUUUGAAAUUGCAUUUCAAAUCUUUGCACCAGUUAGCAGAUCUUUUAUAAUUGAAAUUGUAUAACAUAAGCCAUAGGAUUGUGGCAAACAUAAUACUCUAUACCCAGAGUUCCUAAAUUAUAAAUUACAUUUAAAAACAUAUUUCUGGUUAGAGGCACUUAGACUGCAACAGAUAUUAUUGUAUAAAUUUGAAUACGACUUGAUUUGAUACUGAAAAAUUUAUUUAAUAUUAGGGUCAGGAGUUCAAAUGAUAGCUAAUGUAACUACUCAGAUGAUUCAGGUUUAAGCCUCUCAGGUUGCUUUAAGGUUUGCAAAAUGAGUUAGAUACAUGGGUUCUAGGGUAAGUUCAUGAUCCUACUAAUUGAUUGACUGCUGACAUGUGCAAGGGUCUGCAGGACCAAAGAGUAUUAUUCACGGACUUUCAUUAGAAGUAGAUGCCAUAUAUAAUUUUUUACUGGAUUUUUAUAAAUAUAAUUUUUUACAUGUUUAAUUUACUUUUUCCUUCACUGUGACAUUUAGCAUUUUCUAAAAAUUUAAGUGUAGUUGACACACAAUAUUAUAUUAGUUUCAGGUGCACAGCAUAGUGACUCAACAAUUAUAUACCUAACAAAAUGCUCACCAUAGUAGGUGUAGUUACCAUCUGCCACCAGAAAAAGUAAUUACAAUAUUAUUGAUUAUGUUCUCUAUGCUGUACUUUUUAUCUUUGUGACCUACUUAUUUUAUAACUGGUAGUUGGAACCCCUUAAUACCCUUCACCUUUGACAACACAUUUCUUUAGGAAGUUCUCCUCUCCUUUGUUUUACAUGGCCCUGCUUAUUUUUCUCUUCUGGGCUUGUUUUGUUUUGUUUUGUUUUGUUUUGAAGCACUUAAAGUGUCAGUGUUCCUAAGUUCCAUCUUAGAUGCUCUCUCUUAUUCUGUAUGUUUUUUUCCAGGGUGGCAGUAUAACAUCACACUUAAAAGCAUAGAGCUUCUAGUUAGAGAAAUCUUGAAUAUUAGCUCUGCCAUUUCCUGCUUUGUGAUCUUGGGUAACUUAGUAUCUCUAGGCUCAAUGUCCUCAUCUGUAAAAAUGAGCUAUGCCCUCUUACCUCCUAGAGUUGUUGAGAUUUUGAAAUGAGAUAUAUGUAAAGCCUUUAUCAUAGUGCUUUAGUGCUUGGCACACAGAAAGUGCCAGAUAAACAGUACUUUUGAUUAUUUGUCUACUUCAAAUAAUAUGCUUAUGAUUUCAGAUCUUUAACUAAAGCUUCUCUGUUGGGCUCCAAAUCUCUGUAUAAGGUGGUUUCAAAUGCCAUUUGGGGCCUGUUGUAAAUCAGUGAUGAGGAUUACAUCAGUACAAGAGGAAUUGAAAAAAAUAAGGAUGCUUCAGUUGAGUUUUGAAUUGAAGGCAAGUUAACAAUUAAGUUAACUUAUUGAAUUAACAAUAAAUUGCCUUUUGUAUCAAGAUUCAUGCCUUAAUUUUUGGUGUUGAAAUAUCCUUUUGUAAGAAUGAAAUGUGGAUAUUAGUAGAUGAUAGUUUUUUGUUUUUUAAAGAACACAUGCUGUCUUAUCAAAAGAAAAAAUUGGCAGUCUUAAACUGGUCCCUCAUAUUUAUUUGAAAAUUUUGCUGGUAUGUGAAACCUAAAAACCUAGGAACCUCUGAUCUGUUGGACAGCUUUACCUGAGUAAACUAUGAGUGCCUCAAACUUGACACUAUAAAAAGUAUACUCAUUAUCUCCUUCUUUCCCUUCACACAAAACCCAACUCCUUUUUAUUAUAUACUGUAAAGGAUGUCAUAACUCUCCAUCCCAGUUAAUUGUCAGAAGUGAGUUAUCUUCAAACUGCCCCUGGUCCUGUUACCCUUAAUUAAUUGCUAAUUCCUUCAGUCUGUCUCUUAUUAUUUCUUGAUUCAUACCCAUUGCCACUGUCAUCUUUUUUUGUUGGAAUUGUUUUCUUCUUACCUCCAGACUCCUUUCAUUCUAAUUCAUCCCAUCUGAAACUGCCAGAAUGAUCUUUUACUUUUUGGUCUAAAUUCCCUCAUACCAUCUUCUUUGCGGUUAAACUUUUCAGUAUAGAUAGAAGGUCCCACCUUUCCCAUCUGCUACUCCUCCCUCACAUGGAUCUCUCAUGCCUGCCAUAAUUAACUCUUUACAUCUCAAUUGUUUUGGAAUCUUUGCACAUCCACUUCUACCUGUUAGUGAAUAUCCUCUCCUCAUCUGGAAAAUUCCAAUUAGUCCUUCAAGGUUCCAUUCACGUUUCUACCAACAAGACAGAUGUAUAAAAACUGUAUUUGGUAUGCCGGCAUAUUUUCAUGCCAUUUACUUUCAUUAUUAGAAGGGCGUGGCUGAGGGUACAACUAAGGGAUAGGCAGAAGGAAUAGAAUGCAUGCUGUUAGCACAGCCAUGCAUUCUUAGCCUCUAGCACUGAUCUGCAACCAGGACUGUUUGUAAAUAUGAAAUGUGCCCUUUCCUUUUAGGUACUUAGGUAUGUCUUCUAUGCUGUGUGUAGUAAUAACCAGAAAUAGAAAUUAAAAAAAAAAAGAUUAUCAGAUGAGAUCAGCUAAUGUAACAGCUUGUCUUCUUGAGGAAAAGUUCUAAAAGCUUAAUCAUUGUCCACUAUGUUCUUUUUCUUUUUUUUUUUUUUUAACAUUUAUUCAUUUUUGAAAGACAGAGAGAGACAGAGUGCAAACAGGGGAGGGCUAGAGAGAGAGGGAGACAUAGAAUCCGAAGCAGGCUCCAGGCUCCGAACUGACAGCACAGAGCCUGACACGGGGCUCAAACUCAAGGACCGCGAGAUCAUGACCUGAGCCGAAGUCGGCCACUUAACCGAUUGAGCCACCCAGGUGCCCCAAUGUCCACUAUUUUCUUAAAGAUGGUUCUUGUUGUGAAUUGCACCUCAAGACUCAGAGGGGACCCAGAAGUAUCAUUGCUUAUCCUUAGCUAUGCCUUUCAUCUCAGUCAUGCUAUUCAGAGGAGCAUAUCAGAGAGAAGAAACUCCCUUUCCCACUCAGCGCAGCUGACUUCAGGAAUAGGCUUAUAUUAUCUUAGCCUGAUCAAUGGCUUAAAUUUUUUUGUGAUCCAUCAUAUCAUAUAUGUUCUCGAUAUUUUGAAAGUGCUUUGAUACUGUUUCAGUUAAGAUGAUAGGUCUGCAAUUCAACACCCAACUGAGCAUUUGGGACAUUUUAUUCUCUUACAACCCAUAUGAAAGAGGCAGUACAUCAAGUUCAACAGCUCUGUGAUGUCAUCAGAGACCCAGUUUCUUCCCACCCUUCUGUUCCUCGGUGCAUUUAAUUUUUAUCCCCCUUUUUGCAUCAGGAGGCAAGGUGGCUGCUGAAGUUCUAAGCAUCACUACUAUGACAUGCCAUCAUCCCAAAUAGGGAGGAAUCAAGAUGAGACAUUAAAGUCACGAUUGAUAAGACUAACCAUAAUCCAGUCCUUGGGCCUGGGCACAUUGCUAACCCACACACAAAUGGGUUUUGUCAUCAAGGAAGAAGGGAGAGAAAGGCUAGGGAGUAAGCAACUAACAUUGUCUGCCACGCAUAAUCCUUCCCUUUUAACUGUAUGAAAUAUAACAGUGGGGCAUAAGAGCUCCACCUUGGCGUUUUACUUCUACCAUCCAGACCAAUUUUCUUCUCCCUUGUUUCCCCUUGACUUUCUACAAUUUAACCUUCCCUUCUCCUGGGACGUCACCAUCACCACCCAGUGGAUUUAAGCAAGUCCUACUGUAUAUUUACUACAUAUGUUAGGUUGAACGAUGUGAACUUACCAACAUUAACAUAUUUUUCCAACAAGAAUUUCAGAAUUUUCCCAAAUAAUUUAAGAUUCGUGGACGUAAAUGAUAACUGUGGGGAAGUAAGUACAUAAAAUUUGCCUAAAGCCAACAGAGAAUGUUUUGAAUGAUGAAAAAAAUCAGAUUUGCAACUGAAAUAGUGAUAAUUUACAUUGGACAUCUUCAUUUGGAAAAGGGAAAAAAAAAAUCACCUGCUAAUAACAUUGAGUCCCAUUCCUAGAGACUGACAAUGAUUGAUAAGUCUAUUUUUAUUGCUUAAAUUUGAGUAAGGUAAUCUAGUCGUACCUGCAAAGACAGAAAAGGUAUUAUUUUAUGACUUUCUUGUAUAGUAUGAACUACUAUUUAUCUUAUGCCUUCCUCUCUCCAAGUUGGGUAUAUCACAAUGGCUGCACAAAUAUUGGAGAAGGAGUGCGACUCAAUAGAGAAGAAUUGUCUCUACAGUAGGAUACUAAAAAUUAAAAAAAGAUGAGUGGAAAAAGCCAGCACAGAGGGGAAAGAUAAGAUAAGUGUCUCAAACACUUGAACGUGGAGAAGAUCCAGCACUUUGCAGGGAGCCGUAGCCAGACUUUGUAACAGGAGAGGAAGUCAUCUGGAAAAUGGCGUUUCUCACACACCAGCUGUAAGUCAAUCUCCUGGGUAAGAAUAUCAAGUUAAACAACCUCGUAGGUCUCUCGUGUCUAUGAAUGUAAUAAGAUUCCAGCACUAGAAUCAUUCUUUUGUUCCGUAGUUUCCCACUUGCUGCUCAUAUCCUGCUAAAGUCAUCUCCUUCUCCAAAGUCUUGCCCACCAAGUUCCAUGUGCUUAGUCCCUUAUGUCCCUUUGGUGGAAAAAAUAGAUCAAUAGUAUCAGAAGUCGCCCUGAGGUAUAGCCAAAUAAUAAAGAAAGCUGAACUGUGAUGGUUACAACAUAGGCUAUUUAACAGCUGGACAGGGACUGUAUGAGAGCUUUUGAGGAAUUAAGAAACGAGAAAAAGGAAGAGAACGAAAUACAAAUACACAAAUGACAAAAAGAGAAAUGAAGAUUGUCAGGAAAUAGGGGCAUAAAAACACAUAAGGCAAUAGCAGAGUGAGAAAAAAGAUUUGUGCAAGUUGGAAAAAUGUGGAUUACAGUUCUGGCUUCACCAACUAGUCAUGAAAUUUUGAACAAGCCACUUAAUCUUUACAUUUUAAAAAUGGCUUCAUUGAAAUAUAAUUUACAUUUAGUACCAUGUACCCAUUUAAAGUAUACAGUUUAGGGCUUUAUAGUAUAUUUUCACAAUUGUAUAAUAAUUACCACAAUUUAAUCACAGAGCAUUGUAUUACCCUCCAAAGAAAUCUCAUACCCAUUAGAGAUAUUUUCUCGUCCCCCAACUUUAAAAACCACUAAGCUACUUCUGUCUCUAUAGCUUUGCCUCUUCUGAAUAUUUCAUAUAAAUUUCACUUAUGUAAUGAUUUCAAGGUGCAUCUGUGUUAUAGCAUAUAUCAGUUCUUCAUUUUUAUUGCUGAUUUGCAUUGUCAUACUUUAUAAUUUUCUUUAAAAAAACAAAGCCAUUUUCCUAAUAUUUUAGAUAACCUCUGUAAACCUUUUUUUCUUUUGAGUUAAUUAUCCUUGAAAGAAAAAUAAAUUGUCACCCCUUGUCUGGGAAUGACUAAGAUCAUCAUAAUUCCUUUUAUGAAGCAGAAGUAAAAAUGAGAAACAGAGAAACAUCUGUAUUUUCUGAAAUGUAAAGGAAACUUACGUCAGACCUUGUGACUCCAAGGACACAAUGCCAUCUUUCACCUGUUAGUCAUUAUUAGUUCAUUCAUUCAACAGGUGUUUAGACUUCUACAUGCAAAGAACUAUAUGUCCCUUUAUUGUCCCCUAUGGAGGGAUAUGGAGAUAACUAAGAUAGAAUUAAUUCUUAUUACCCUUAUCAGAACCACCAGACCUGGGAAUAAAAUGUCUUCAUCUAACACCUGCUGAAGUGUGGCAUCACUAGAACCAAAGGGAGAAUGAAGAGAGAGAGAGCCAAAGGGCUGGGAGUCAUAGUUUUCUUCUCAGGUUUUAUGGACAUUGGAGUCCGUUUGCUUAGACACUUACUAAAAAUAUAAAAUCCUUCUGCUUAGUUAAGGCUAUCUUGGGUAGCUUCCUUGUUUUUGUAAUAUAAACCCAUAGGAAAUCUUCAAGUACUGGGUGAGAGCUCCGAGUUGUUUGGGGUUGUGGAAAACUGGAAGAAGUAUGUGGUGGCAGAGAAGAAAGCAGCCAGAGGACACAGUCUCUGAGGUCUUAAUAGGAAAGUUGGUGAUGAGGAAGCUUAUCUUGGGCAAAGAUUUCCUCUGGGUAGGAGGCCUUUGCCUCCACUCACCCACUUUGUGUAAUAUCCUUAUUCAAGGCCCAUAAACAUCAUUAAAUAAAAAUAGCAAAGUUGGUCUUUGGGUUCCUAAGAUCGUUCUUUUAUUUUUUAUACCAUUGAGCCGGUAGUUCUAGACUCUGAUUAAUAUCAGAGUUCAGUGUUUCAAAUUUGAAACAUUGGUAGAGACCCUAUAAAGAGCUCAAAGGAAUAUAUUAAAGAGAAAUAUAGGGCUUGUGAAUAAAAACUUACAAAGAAACAUCAUGCUAUUAUUCGCCAUGAGGAAGAGUUGGAAAUUUAUUUCAUAAAAGUGAAAGAAUGGUUGCUCUUUAUGGGUUUGAACACAGAAUAAUUACAAAUAUAUCUUAAUUACUGAGAAGCUUAAUAUUAAAAGACUAGUUUAACAAUAAAAGGCCUAUCAUUUUUUGGUAAUUUUAUGCCUUUUUCCUAUGAAGCCAAAAUAAUUGACCAGAUUGAUUCAAGUCAUGCAGACAAAAGCUAAUUUAGUGAAAAUAUAUAUAUUCUGAACACACUCCAGUGAAAUUUACCCAAGAAAAGGGAGAGAAAAGGACAUAUCUAAAGAUGCAGAAUAAAAUUACAGUACUGUGAAGAAUGAACACUCUUGUCUAAAAAAAAACUUACUUGUAAUGGACUAUUUCACAGAAAAAAAUUACUUAGAAAAAUUGAGUGAAGUUGCAAUAAAACCCAGAAAAUGUUAAUGGAUCUAUAACAUCUAAAGAAAUUGGAUUUAAAAACCUAGUCCCCCUUCCAUUUAAAAAAGCCAAAGUGAAAACCAAAACAGAAAAAAACAUAUAAAACAGAUUUAGAUAAAUUCAAAAGCAAGUUAUAACACAUCAUCAAGAAACAAAUUAGUUCCAAAGCCAUAUAAAUCCCUUCAGAGAAAAGAACAGGUAACACUUUCCAAAUAAUUUAAUGAGGUUGUAUUAUUAUGAGGUUAAAGCCAAAUAAAAGCGAUUGUCCUUUCUGAAUAGAGAUUCAAAAUUUCUAAACAAAAUUAUUAGCAAACCAAAUCUCACAAUGUAUUGAAAAAUACCUCCUGGAAAAAUUGGACUCUUCCAAGGAAUUCAAAGAAGAUGUAAUUUAAAAGUACAUUGCAAAGUAUGAUACAGCUAUUCAUUUAUUAUUUUUAAAAUUAUUAUCUUCCUGAUAAUUUAGGAGUCCAAUAAGGGCAAAAUUGUGUCUAUUUUGUUCACUGUUUUAUCUCCACUUCCAAACAUAUGUGCUCUUGAUAGGCACUCAAAUAUUUUUUUUUCCUAUUAAAUUGAAUGCCAUGUAGUUGGACAUCAUAGAAAUUUAAUUUCAGAGGUAUUUAUAGAAACCAAAAUGUGUCAGAUGUUUCAAGUCAGUUAAAAAGUGGAAAAUUAUUUAAUCUUUUUAAAAGUAAUGUCCUAAGGAAUCCUUUGCAGUUCUUUUGCAAUAAAGAUGGCAAAAAUACGUAUCUAGUACUCCAUUCGUGGUUAAUAUGGGACUGACCCUUCAUCACUGAGCCACAGAUCCUUCCUCAGAAUCCUUCUCAGUAUGGUUCUAGAGUUACUUAGUGUCAAACAAUUGGAAUUGGCGCAUGCAACACAAAUUGGUAUUUCUAUAUUGUCCCAGGGGGGAAAAAAAAUCACAUUUUUUACUCUAAGAAAAUAUUUAAUUAUACACUGACUGAUGAUACUAGCAUAAAAACAGCCUCAGGAAAGCCUACCUUUUAAUGUAGAUUCAGUGUCUCUACUUUACUUUCCCACUGGAAUGAAUACAGGACCUAAUGGCAAUAAUUUGGGACAGAUUAUCAUUUCAGAUUCAGGCAAAAUCACUUUUGGCUUUUAUUCUUAAAAAAAAAAAACAAAACUAAUGGUUUGGUGAAGAAUUUGGAUUGUAAUUGCAACUUGGUUUUGGCCAAGCCAAACAAAGAUUAUAAAUAUUCAUGUAUCUAGAUUCUAUAUACCAAAAUUAUUAUCCUUAAACCUCUUAACUAAAUUCUGACCAGAAGAAGAAACACAUUUCUCAAUUACUUUUGGAAAAGUCAUAUGUUUAGUGGCCAAGAGGUUCAAGAUAGUUCUAAUAAAUCACAUAAUGGAGACAGUCUUACUUAAAUUGUAGAGAAUUAUCUUGCAAAAUUAAUUUGAGGUUCAGAGGCAAGAUAAUCAGUAUCAUUUUCUAUAACAGUCAGGCAUUUUUAAUUGAGUAUUGCUACUCUAUCCUUAGGGGUCCUUUUUUCAAUUUGAGCAAUCAUAAUGUUAAAGUGCCACUUUCAAUUAGUCUUGCACCAGAGGGUACCAUUUGGCCAUAUAAAUAUCAUCGAAGAGAUCUAAAGAUGCUUUUGCUGUGAGGAUUUAGAUGUUGAACUUCCCUGAUGAAUUUAUCUUUCUGCAUACAAAUCUCACUUCCUCUACAAGCAAAGACUGAAAGGUGUUUUCCAAUUUUAACUUGCUUAUCACUUACAGAUACAAUACUUUUCUUAUUUAAAUUAAAAAAAUGAACUAUCAAAGCUUUUCAUUUUUUUUUUGUAUCUGUGUGUGGAGGGAUAAAGUAUAUUUCCUAACAUUUUUUUCAAGUAGUUGACUUUAAAAAUUUUCUCUCACAGUUAAAUGAAAAGUAAUUAUAAAACUUGCUAAAGACAAUGGCAGCUCUUAGAAAUAUAACCCUAUAAAAAUUAGAAAAAAUUAUGAAACUUCCUGAAAAUAGUUAGAAACAUUGGGCUGACAUAGGAUUUGAGUGAUUCAAUAAAUGUGCAUAAAAUCAUUACAGAAAUACAAAUAGUGCAAAUUACUCAAAAUAUUAGCCCUAUCUUCUAGGCUUUAAUUUUUAUGGACAGAUAUUUUUUAAACAUUUUUUUAAGUUUGUUUAUUUUGAGAGAGAGAGAGAGAGAGAGCGAGCAUGCAGGAGAGGAGCAGAGAGGGAGGGAGAGAAAAUCCCAAGCAGGCUCCACACUAUCAAUGCACAGCCCGACGCGGGGCUCGAACUCACCAACCAUGAGAUCAUGGUCUGAGCUGAAAUCAAGUGUCAGAUGCUUAACUGACUGAACCACCAGGUUCCUUUAUGGACAAAUUUUUAAAAAUUGAGUGGUUAUAUAAAUUUUAAUAAAUAAUAGAAAUUCAGUAUAUCAAAUUAUAAAAUAAAGAGGUUGGUUAUAGUUCUGUGAGGAGUUCAACUUUCAAGUAGGGAUAUCAUAGAGAGACGGUAAAACUUAACUAAAAAUAUCAGUGCUUCUAGGAGGAGCUAAUUCUAUGCCUUGGGAAGAGAUAUUUCAAGAUGAGUCUAGAAACUUUUGUUGUCAGAAAGCAAGUACACUUUGAAAUGUUCUGAUGUGGUGUUGACAGGACUCAGAAGCCAACUUAAAAAGAGCUUUCAUUGGCCAAGCUGUGACAAUUUGAGCAUAAAAAAGGAUAAAAAUUAGACUGAUUAAAACAGCAGAGCCUAGAAGAAGCUGUUUUUCAUAAUUAUGCUUAAAAGAAAAUGGGGCUUUAUUUUCUUUUCAUAAAAAGGGUACUAUAUUCCGGUUAAUUUCUUUAGAGAAAAAUAAUAUUUUUAAAGUUUAAUUAUAUAUACUAAUUAAAUAUUAAUAUAUCUGUAUGUGUAUAAAAUUUUUAGGAUGGGUAAAAUGACAUCCACACACAAAGAGUAAUGGCCACCACCAUCGUUAUUAGUAUUUUAUGGAAUCCACUUGGCACACCAUUCUUGUGUGCUUUUUGAUCUCCCUUCAGGGAUCAUUUGUUCUCUUCUAGAAGUAUAUUAUAAGUGAUCUUAUUUAGGAGGCAUUAAUGAAGGGAUAUGUUUUCAUCUAAUAACUUACUUGUUUUGUCCUCAUUCUUGAAUGAUAAUCUAGUUGAAUAUACAAUUCCAGAUUGGAUUUGAAUAUAUUUUUGAAUACAUUUUCUCAACAUUUUUGCUGGCUUCCAUUGUAAUUGCUGACUUGUUUUUGGCCGAAUUGUCACACUUAGAGAUAUCCUUUCAUCUGUGGAUGCUUUUAAGUUCUAUUUUUUUCUUUAUAUGCGAACAAUGACUGUGUUUUUUGUUUACUUUUAUAUCCUCAGAGCUCAGAAUAGUGUCUGAUAGUACUUGCUCAAUAAAUAAUUUUUGAAUGAAUAACUUAAAAGAAAGUUUUCUGUAGCUUGAAGCUGACCUUUUUUUUAAUUAAAAAAAUUUUUUUUAAACGUUUAUUUAUUUUUGAGACAGAGCGAGACAGAGCAUGAACAGGGGAGGGGCAGAGAGAGAGGGAGACACAGAAUCUGAAACAGGCUCCAGGCUCUGAGCGGUCAGCACAGAGCCCGACGUGGGGCUCGAACUCACGGACCGUGAGAUCAUGACCUGAGCCGAAGUUGGGCACAUAACCGACGGAGCCACCCAGAUGCCCCUGAAGCUGACCUUUGAGUAACAUAAGACAAAGUGCUUGAAGAAUUUAUUAUGGUACCUGGCACAUAAUUACUACUCAAUAAAUGAUAGCUUCCAUUUUCAUUGAGAGAAAAAGAUUAUUAAUCUGUGUAAAGGAAGAGAAGGAGCUAUUUAUUAAUCUAUGAGGUUACAUUCUAGAGAGUAAGCAAUACUCUCUCUCUCUCUCUCUCCAUAUCUUCUCAUUAUAAUUUCAAGUUUAAAUACAAACAUUGAUUUCGUUUCUUAUUUUUUCCCCUUUGGCACCCACCAAAAGUAAGGUUUACAACAAAAAGAUUUACAAAACAAAAAAAGUUACGUCUCCAGUUCUGUUUAAUGGGGCCGCAAAUAUGAAACAAAGAUUGCUUGCUUAAGAGUAGGAUAUGGUCUUUACAAACUGAAGAGAAGGUUGAUUCUGUCAAAAGGCCAUUUUGAUGAAACUUUGUUCAUGGAGUAAAAGCAUUAGACCAACUUUUGAAAUAAAUUGUAAAUGAAAGGGUUAAAAAUAGCGAUUCUCAGGGUAAAGGUGAUAUUACUGUGUCAUGUUGUUAUAGAUAUUUUUUCCUGCAGUGUUUUCAUAAAAGGGUCCUAUUCCAUGUAUACCAAGACUUCUAAACUUCUCUCUGAAUAGCUUCAAAGAAAUGAAUAAAAUUUUUUCUAAUUAUGUUCCAAAUCCAUCAAAUAAUUCCAUUUGAGAUGUCUGAGAUUAUUCUAUGCCCAUAUUUUCAUUGUGCUUAUUUUUUUAGGAUAUGGUUAUUUCUACUUGGACAGAAUUCAUUAUAUUAGAGCAAGUAUUUAAAAUACUUAUAUGAUUCUAAACUCACACAUUCAAUAAAAGUCAUCAUGAAAUUAAUUAUUUGAUCAAAUUAUCUUUAUGUACUUUGCUAAAUGUAUACUUUGCUUAAAUUUAUAAAGCCUACUUUCUGAAAACAUCUUAAAGAUGAUGAAAUUCAGUGUUCUGUGGUUUCCACUUGGGCAUAUUAGACCAGAUUAGGUUACCAGCACUACUAGAAGGACUCUCUAGUGUUUUAUAAGAUGGUCCUUCAGCUUGGAAUUUCAGAGUGAGUGAGAUAUUGAUUUGAGCUUAAAGCAUGCUUAACAUAAUCCCUCAAUAUGCUCAAAAAAUACCUGCUGAAUGAAUAUUUCUCAGCCCUGGAGUAGGGAAAAUGAUAUUUAACAAAUGUGAGUGGUUUUUUUUUUGCAUGUUGCAGGGAAUGUUGAACGUUUUUUUUGGUUCUAUAUACAUGUUCCAAUGUGAUGCAUUUAGAUUACAUUUUGUUUCGUUCGUGAAAAACUGACCAUACCUUGGAGGUUGCAAAUCUAAGUGCCCAGAUCAGUUUAUGGCUUCUCUUUUUCAUCUAGCACAAACAAAAAAGUGUCAAGAGAGUGGAAGAAAGUCCUUUUCCCAAACAUCCAGUGAAUAUAUGUUCUUUUGAAAGUAGAGAGGAAAUUAAACUGUGGCUGAACCAUUUUUCUUUUUUCUUUUUUGAAAGCUGUCUGUUGUUUGAUGUCCAUGAUGAUCAUUUAUAUGACUCCAGAGGCUGCUGGAAUAAUAUACUUACUUAGCAGAGCCUGGAUAUUUCUUAAAAUUGAAAAAGGCAAAGCUCAGAAAAAUAAAUUUUGUUUCUGUAGUCCUUGUUUACAUUUUGUGUUUGGUGAGACUUAAUCUAUAAUGCGUUGCAUUUAGGCAGUGUAAUGGUCGCAUCCUAUGCCAAAUUAAAGAAGAGUGUUUAAGCCUGAAAGAUGCUGUUUUCAUUUACUUAUUGGUAUGCCUAUUUAUACAAAGUUAGGUGAAAAUGAUCUCAUAGUUUCCUAUCAACUCUACAACUCAAUGUACCGAAUGACUCUAUGAUUUUGCCUUAAAUCUAUGGUCCUUAGGAGGAUUUCUAAAUUAUCACUUGAGAAGUAAUUUUUGCAUUUAUUUUUAGAAAGCAGAAGUUAUAUGAAUUUGUAAGUCUAUUAUGGAUUAAUACACCUGUUGGUUGGAGAAGAGAAGUAUGUUUUAAUACUUAAAGUGACCUUGUUAGGAGAUGGUAUAAUUAAUCAGCUCAGUGUAUGGGUGUUGGAUUUCAGGCUGCCCUGGGUUGAAAUCCUGGCAUGGUAUAUCAGUUAACAUCUUUUUAUUGCAAAGAAACAAAUAUUGGCUAAAUUAAGCAAAAAAGCAGUAAACUAAGCAAUAAAUUAAGUAAAUUUAUUGGCAAACUGUUGAGAUAUAACCUAUUUGAAGAUUGGAGAACCAUAUUUUGACAUAAACAGAAGCCAGUAGUUUGGGACAUGUCAGAGAAGCAAGAACUAAAGGAAAUUUCCCUUCUGAUUGAAUGGGACCUCCCCAUUUUUUAAAACUUCUCACUACUUCCUCAAAAGUCAAAGUCCCACAAAAAAAGUGGCUACAUUUUGUCCCUCUUCCAGUGCCAGUCUAGUGGAAAGAUAAAUCUAGCCCUUCAACUUUUAUAAUGGAAGUUGACUAUUUUCUACCUAUGAAGACUGUUCUUAAUGAAUGAGAUACAGUUCCCUAAAGAUAAGUUGGAAUGCUGUGGGAAAGAGUCAGUGAUGCUGGGGACCAAAAAAUGACGUGUGCAUUAUGCUUGGUUACGUACUAGUAAUGUAAUUUUGUCAAGUUACUCAAUCUCUCUUAGCCUCAGUUUCCUUAAGGCUGUCAUAGACUCUAAGUCUAAAGUUCUUUCUUGCCCAGCAAGAAAGCGGGAUGCAGGAUUAAAAUGUGAGAGAUGGCUAAUGUCCGAGAAAAGACAAGAGCCCCAAAUAAGGGUCCUUGCUCCAGUUUUAUUAGGAUCAGGAGGCUUACAAACAUGAUGAUGGACGUGCACAAAGAGACAGUAAAUCUGUGAACAUUAACUCAUGGAUGUGAGGGAAAGGGGGUCUUGAAGAUAUUCGGGGUUAGGGGUUUGGGUAAAUACAAAACAAAAUCCUGGUGCCAGUGGCCAGGAGGAAGGUUAUUUACAGUGGACAUGAGGUACCACGUCUGUUUAUCUUAGCUAGCCUAGACUAGGGGAUGAGAAAGGUAGAGGAAAUAACCUCAGGGUUAACAAGGCACCUUUCUUUUGUUAAUCAGCUCUGCUCUGGGCAGCUUCACCCGCAGUGCAGCUGGUCUAUAGCCCUAUUUACCUGUUUACCUAAUUUGGUCUUUCCUUCCUAUGAAAGCAGCUUUCUGCUAUAGUACUAAAUUGGUGGACGUUUUCACCCUUAAUGCCUAAUCUUGCUUACCUCAUAUACCUUUGUAUUUGGGCCUUUGCCCUCCUCUCUAUUCUGGGGCCUUUGCCCCCUUUCUCUAUUCUGGGAGCCUUUGCCCCCCUCCACUUUAUCCUGGGGGCCUAAUCUUGUUUACCCAAGCUUGAGUGAGAGCACCCUAUGGCUUUGUAAUUCUUUAUGCCUUGUUAACCAUCCGUGCAGGCUCAGGGAAUUCCUAAGCUUGUUCCCCAUGCCUUAUCUCUAAAAUGAUUAUAAUGCCUACCUUACUGGGUUCCUGUGAGUAUAAAAUCAGGUAACACAUAGAAAGUACCAGGUGUGUAGUAUUCACUCAAUACAUAUUGGCUGUUGCUAUCAUUAUUUUAUACUUUCUAUGGUUCUUUCACAUACAUUUGCUUCUUUAAAUCCUCACAGUAUCUCAGCAGGUAAGUGUAAUAGAUUUUAUUGUCUUUAUUCUAUGGAUAGGAUAAGAAGCUUGGACUUAAGAGGCGUUGCCUGAAGCCUAAAGGCUGGCUUUCCAAAUCCUGUAUGUUUUCUUCUACAGAGUGCAGUUCGCUACUACAGUAUCAUUGGUGUGGAAAAAAAGAUGAGGGGACAACACUGAGACAGAGUUUUGUUUUUGUUUUGUUUCUUUUUUCUGAGAAAUAGAUUCUCUGUCAGCAAAGGAAUUGUAUGUUCACUGCUUGGCUACAGGUCAGUUUGGCUGUUGUAUAUAUUUCCUAGAAGCAGGUGUUCUGAGAGUGAAAUCCUGAUGCACAUUCACAGGAUUGUAUUCGCGUGGCACUUCCAUGCUGUGAUCUUGCGGCUUCAUGACAAACACAUCCAGGUUUGUAAACCUAUGUACAGCUGUUCGCCUGUUAACAAAAUGUGAGAACAGAGAAGUACCUGUCACACACCAUGGAAUUUUCCAAAGCAGUUCAGGGCUAUGUGUGCUGGCUGAUCUGCAUUUGUCUUCCCUUUCAGCUUGACACCUGGACACCUGCGUGGAGGAGUGGGCCAGGGUGUUUGAUAACGAGCAUAGAUUUUUGGCCUGAUAGUUUUACUAUCCCUGCAAGGCGACAUCUCUGCCAGGGUCAAUACUUCCAGUCUAGGAAGCUGUUUUCAGAAACCAGGAGGAAGCUAACAUUUUUCAGCUUCCUUUCUCUGGGGUCCUUCUUCCUUCACUGCUCUCUGUGGGACAAGAAAGCAGAAGUAUGCUGGUAAUAGUAAAAAAAAAAAAAUCUCAAUUCUCUAAUGCUAAGAAAAUGAGCAGGAAAGGGACCAGAUUUGGGAGAAUGUAUUUAAUUUCUUUUGGGACCUACUGACUGAUUUCUUGAUGGUCUUCCUUAUUUUUCUACAUCACUUUCUUAAAGCACUUGAAGGGAGAUUUUGAAAACCACCCGAGUUGCAAAUUUUCUGCUACGAACUGCUUGGUGUUCAACAUUCUCUUUAUUACUUGCCCUUUGCUGCCUGGCAUUUGAGUUCUUACAGUUUACGUCUGUGCCUCCUGUGAGACUGUGAACUUCAUGAGAACUGGAGACAAUAGCUCAUCCAUUCUUUGCAUCCUUUAUUGCUUCUCAAAGCACCAUCUGUGGACUAGAAGCAUUGGCAUCCCCUGGGGGCUUGUUAGAAAUGUAGAUGAUCCAACCUUGCUCCUGACUUACUGAGUCAGAGCCUCCAUUUUAACAAGGUCCCGGGUGCUUCGUAUGCACAUUAUAAAUUGAGCAACAUUUCUCUUUAGCACUUUUCAUAUAACACAUGUUAAAUAAUAGUAAAGGUAGCAUGCAUGUGAAGCAGGUAAUUAUGUAUCACUUACAGAACCCACUCCUUAACAUUCUGUAGUAACCUCAGAAUCCUAGAAGCCAUGGGCACUUCAUACUUCUGAAUGCAGAUGAAGUUGGCAGCCUCAGAAUCUCCUUGAUCAACUGAAAAAAAGAAAGAAAAUUGAAAUAAACAAUCAGGCAGUGAGCAGGGAUGGAGGAACAGAGUCCUUGUACAUAAAGUUGGGUUUGGUGCUCCGCCAAGGACAGUGCUUGCUGCCUACAGAUAAUUGCUGUGGGGAGCUCCAAGGAGCAGCAGGGGUUCUAAGGUGCUAGCUCCGUUUUCCUCAUCCAGCCUCAACUAGCUCACUCACUUUUCCCUGGUUCAUUUGUUGCUUUUCCUGCUCACACUUAAUUUAGGAACAAAAGUGGUCACCUCAAAAUAGGUACACAAAAAAUAAACACAAAACAAUUUCCACCUGAAACCUCAAAAGCAAAGUUUAAAAACCACUUCACUAAGCCAUAGGUAAUAAUAUCAACAAGGGAUAGAUUGUUAAUGUGUUCCAUGCACAGUAUACAAAUUGGCAUUUAAAAUUUGUAAUUAAACGAUGAUAAGUAAUGACUUAAAAUUUCUUUUUGAUGCUUAUUCAUUUUUGAGAGAGAGGGAGAGAGAGAGCAUGCACACAAGUGGGGGGGGGGCAGAGAGAGAGGGAGACACAGAAUAUGAAGCAGGCUCCAGACUCUGAGCCAUCAGUGCAGAGCCCAACACAGGGCUCAAAUCCAAGAACUUGUGAGAUCAUGACCUGAGUUGAAGUCAGAGGCUUAACUGACUGAGCCACCCACAUGCCCCAGGAGUGACUUUAACAGAAGAUUGCCAGUGGUCCUUUCUCUGCUCUUCAAAUUCUCCCUGACAGAAGCUAACUAUUUUGUUUAGCCGCAGAAUUCAUUUUGGGGGUGAUUAUGAUUGUAUAAAUGCAAAGUGCUAUUCCAAGAAGUGAUUUUAGUUGAGUUUUCUGUUCAAUAUUUAAUGAUUAGAUGCUCGGUGGCAGGGACUGUGGUAAGAGCUGGAUAGAUAAAGAUGAGUAUGACAAUACCUGCUCUCGAGGAACUUUUAGGCUAGUGGGCUGGGCAGACACUUAAAUAGAUCAUUUCAAGAGACUGUUUGGUCAAGGAUGCUCAGGGUGCUUUGGGUUUCAGGAGAGGGGCAUUGUGCUAUUGGAGAAGAAUCAGGAUCAAAACUAUAUAUUUUUAAAAUUUUUAUUUAUUUUUCGAGCAAGAGAGAGAGAGUGCAUGAGCAGGGGAGAGGCAGAGAGAGAGAGAGAGAGAGAGAGAGAGUGAGAGAGAGAGAGAGAAAGAGGAUCUGAAGCGGGCUGUGCACUGACAGCAGGGAGCUCGAACUCCCACAUCAUGAGAUCAUGACCUAAGCCUAAAUCAGAUGCUCAGCCAGCUGUCUUUUGUCAAAAUGUCAAAAUACUCUAUUUUGAAUAGUGAGAAGUAGGUGAAGAAAGGAAUGUUGGAAACACAUUCCAAGAAGAAGUUGCAGUGAGGCUAAAAAUGCUGAUGUAUGAAACAGCAUGGUCUGUUUUGGGAACUUUGCCAAGAUGCAGGAAACCACAGAUGAUGAAGCUGAAGAGAUAAGCUAGGGCAUUAAAUAUGGAAGUCUCUGGAAAGUUUCUGACAAAUUUGCCAUGCUUAUACUUAUCAAUAGUUAAUUAACACCACAAAUUCUAUGUUAGGAAAAAAACCCCAAACAUUUGUUCAAAAGAAAAAUGCCUUCAUUUUCAACUUUAUUGUGAAAGUAUUUGUUCUUUGUCUUUAGGGUAUGUUGAUCUUCCUCAAUGGGGGAAUAUCUUACACAGUUAUGUCUCUUGACAGCGUAUUGAGGGAAGAGACAUGAACACAGUGGGAAAGAAUUAUAAUUCAAUAAGAUAGUAACUAUGUCAGCACUGCAUUUAUUGGGGGCAUUGAAAAGAGCACUCAAUAUUUUGUGUGGACCAUUGUGACUUAGACACGUGUAUAUGACUGUAGUGGUAGAGUGAUCAGCUGACCUCUGGAAAAGCGAAUGAACAUGCAGUCUUUGUUUUUGAAGAAACCACUACUGAUCCAUUGCAGUGUCUAGAAAUUUAAAGCAAUGGUUACCAGGAGAAGGCAUAUUGUUAUUAUUUACAUCAUAAGAGGAGGGAAAAAGUACUUAUAUAUUCCCCAUAUACUCUCUGCUUUCUUCUUGGUAAAGGGAAUGUUUUACAGUAAAAAUUAAACUUCAUGGGGACUAACGUGGUUGUUUUUUCCUGUUGAACUCAUAACAUGUAAACACAUAGUAGGGACACAAGAUUGUUUGUUGAAUGAACAAAUGCGUGAACUAACUCAUUAAUUUGAAGGGGGAUGGACUGCAUUUUUCUUAGCAGUGUCUUAAUUAGCUAGAUUCUAUCAUUGAUAAAGACAACGAAAACUAGAGGGAAUAAUGCCCCUGAGCACAUGGUGGUGAGCGAUGUCCAAAGGUGGGAAAUCCUGUUGGUCAGAGGACACAUCCUCUAUUAGACAUGGUGAGGAAGUGGGGGAGGGGAGCUGCAUAAAAUUUGAAUUGAAAGUAAAAUAGAAAAUUGUCACUGGGAAUUCUAAGAAAUCCUCAGUAAUGUUUAAAAAUAUAUAUAAAAUAAAUUAAUACAAGCUUAUUGAUAAAAUACAAGCAACUUCAAAGACAUAGUAAUAAACCAAAUAGCGAGCUCAUGCUGGAUCCACAUAUACAUGGGACCCUGGAUCCAUUUACUGUGAAGCAAAAAAAAUCUUAGCUUCAGGGCCCCUUAUUUGCUUUAGGAGGGACCCUCCUAAGACAUUCACAUUGUUCUAUGUUUUAGGGAAAUUUGCAAGAGUAAGUUAUUUUUACCAAAUUAGUGAGGAUCACUAGCUUUUGCUACUCUGACUGUCCCCUCAUUGCACUUCCCUUUUUGUCUUUUGGUAUUUGAAUGGCCAUGGAACGUUUUGGAAUUCAGUUAAGAGGAAGUUGAGUUGGGAAUGUGCCAUUUUAACUGCAAUUUGGAAGAUGUAGAAAGGAAAUGAACAAACAAUAUAAUGAAAAAGAAAUUCAAAAAGCUGAGUAAAUGGAGACCGAGUAAAGUGAAGUGAUUGGUCCAGGGGCAUAUGGCUGGUAGGAGGUAGAGGGAGGAUCCCAACCCAGCAACCAUCAACUGACCUAGAAUUUGACCGUGUGGUGAUUUAUACCACUUGCCUUCGUGUUGUACGAACAACCUUUGAAAGAUGUGAACUGGUUAGAAAGAUCUUCCAAAACCAUCGAGUAAAAUUUGAAGAGAAAAACAUAGCUUUGAACGGUGACUAUGGAAAAGAGCUAGAUGAGCGAUGCCGGCAUGUUUCUGAAGCUCCUUCCCUCCCUGUCGUGUUCAUUGAUGGCCAUUACCUUGGGAGAGUGCAGCAUCCACAGGAGUGUCCCUCCUGUGGAGGCUUUGGCUUUCUUCCGUGCUCCGUGUGCCAUGGGAGCAAGAUGUCAGUGUUUCGAAACUGCUUUACAGACUCUUUCAAAGCUUUGAAGUGCACUGCUUGCA